rnacentral:rRNA from 1 species
AUUGAACGCUGGCGGCAGGCCUAACACAUGCAAGUCGAGCGGAGCGGCGGACGGGUGAGUAAUGCCUAGGAAUCUGCCUGGCAGUGGGGGAUAACGUCCGGAAACGGGCGCUAAUACCGCAUACUAUCAGAUGAGCCUAGGUCGGAUAAGCUAGUUGGUGGGGUAAAGGCCUACCAAGGCGACGAUCCGUAGCUGGUAUGAGAGGAUGAUCAGUCACACUGGAACUGAGACACGGUCCAGACUCCUACGGGAGGCAGCAGUGGGGAAUAUUGGGCAAUGGGCGAAAGCCUGAUGCAGCCAUGCCGCGUGUGUGAAGAAGGUCUUCGGAUUGUAAAGCACUGUAAGUUGGGAGGCGUUACCUACAGAAUAAGCACCGGCUAACUUCGUGCCAGCCGCCGCGGUAAUUC